rnacentral:miRNA from 13 species
UAUGGCUUUCUAUUCCUAUGUGA